CUUCCAGUAGCACCUUAGAGACCAACUAAGUUUGUUAUUGGUAUGAACACGAAAGCUCAUAUCAGUAACAAACUUAGUUGGUCUCUAAGGUGCUACUGGAAU